ensembl:snRNA U1 U1 spliceosomal RNA
AUAUUUGUCUGGCAGUGGAUUUACCAUGGUCACGAAAAUGGUUUCCCAGGGAAAGCCUUAUCUAUUGCACCGAGAAUGUGCUGACCUGCAAUUUCCCCUAAUGUAGGAAACCCUGCUGAAUCGUUUGUGGUAUGGGAGACUGUAUUCAUGCUCUACCCUA